ensembl:lncRNA
UAUGGAGACCUAACAGUUGGAUUGAGUGCUAUUUUCAGUGUUCCGAACUACUUUAGGUUUAGAGUUGUGGGGAGCGAGUAAGAGCAUGUGUGUCAAAGCUUUGUUAAAAAUGUAAAUCUCUAGACAAAUGCUAGGUAACUGAGCAGCAGCAGCCACAAGGCACCGCGGGUAUUCUUAAUUUUUCACCCUAGAGUUGUCAGGAAGAGGCCCAUGCCUCUUUAAAAACAAUGUUCACACUGAGAACAAUCAUGGGACCUGGCAGAACUUGAAUGAACCACCUUCAUACAAUCUAGAGAAGCUAGAAAUGUAAAUUUAGAUCCUAUGUGCCUAUAAACAUGCCCAUGUGCCUGUUAUUCACAUAUCUUCAGGCUCUGAUCUUUUUGUCCUACUCCCCUUCAACCUAAACUCUGCUAAUUUUUUAUGAACACAUUUAUAGAGUGUAUUAGGAUAAAUUUGACCAUGCUGUAGAUAGGAUGAGGCAAUUAACUUGGAAAGUACAAUAAAAACAAUGUUAGACAUCUGAAAGCACUCUUAAUACUGGCUUUGCCAUUGUCCUUAACUUGCUUUUUAAUUAUGCAGGUGGUAAACUACCCAAGGACAGCAGAGAAGAGGGGAUACAUGCUCCCAGACAGGGUGGGCAAGGAGCCCUAAGGUAUAAAAUCUGCUUGAGAAAACAAACAAAUGAAAUGUGUAGAACUGUAAGAGAAAAGUGGCUGCCUAAUUCUGAGGAGCAGGAUUGGUCCCAGCAGAAGAAAAGUGGACAACAAGAAAAGCCUUGGGAGCAGUAAUGACCAAUAAUGGUCACUUACCUGGAGUGUCCUAGUUAUUACUGCUUGGAUCAGUAAUGGUCCAAAGUCUUGACUGAAGGAAGAAAAUAAAGUCAAGGGAGAAACUGAAGACA